ACUUGGAGCUUAGAAACCGUCGACUUAACGAUUCCUUUUCACCUUCUCCGGGCGACAUAACGCUACCUAAUUAUGACCUUCAAUCACGCUCCCAUGACUUCCUCUUCAUUUCUUCUCUAAUUCGUUUUUGAGAAUCUUAAUUCAGUGUUAUAAAUACUUUCUGAGAGUCCCCUGCAAAAUCUUCGAUCGAACUUGUUUGCCCCAGUCUCUCUUAAUCGACGAUUGUGAUAAUGGCAAGUUCUCAUCUUAAAUUCUCUGACUUGAAGCGAGGGCUGUAGACAGUUAGUCUAGGCUCGACUUCUCCGCUUCUGGUAAGCCUGAAAUGUAAAGAAAGCCAGUGAGCUGAUGGGUAUUGAUAUGCUUCUCAUUGCUGGAAGGAUACGCGAGUCCAAGCAUCAAUUAGUGUGCACAUGAUCAACACCUUGAAAUACAUAUUGAAGGAAGGCUCUCUGUAUGAGCUUAGUGUUUUUGUUGUCACAAUAUGCAACCCAGCUUACUUUUUGGAGAAAGCCAUCUUUCUAUUAGAUUUACAGAUAGAACAGUUUUUCUUGAGGUCUCUGAAACGCUAAAACGGAUCCCUAUAAAGAGUUUUAGGUUCCUGCAAUAAGAAACUGAGGAAGAUCCAAACGAGAUGAAGAAUCUGACAGGAAUGGGACUAUCAAAUCAAAAGUUGUAUCCAUACGCUCAAAGGGCACAUCCACAAUGUAUGUACAGGCUAGAGUUUGUUUUUUCUAUUUUGUCUUUUAGUUUGUUAUAUCUAUUUUAUAUACUUUUCAGGCUAGAGAACACUCUGAAUUAUGUUCUCGAGAGUUUUUGGACCUUUGGUUACAUAAAAUGUUCGGGCCUGGUUGUGCUUGGAUAUGAUGAAGGAAUAACCAUCAUGGUUAAACAUACUACCUAGACCAAAGAAUGAUAAACCGCCAAUGUCAAAUAUCAGCAGACUAUUACAAUCAACCACUAUGAUUACUUCCUCUAUAAUAUACCCCAUUCCUGUUAAUUAACAAUAUAGAAUGUGUUACCUGCACGUUAAAAUUAUGAAUCUACAACCAGCUGAUAACGCAGCUAUAUUAAUGGUUGGCUAAUCUUAAACUCAUAAAUGGCCCAACUUGAUUUGCUAACACAUUAGGUCCCCCAAAAAUAACAAAAACUCUACCGGAUAAUGAAA